rnacentral:rRNA from 1 species
AUUGAACGCUGGCGGCAUGCUUUACACAUGCAAGUCGAACGGUAACAGGUUAAGCUGACGAGUGGCGAACGGGUGAGUAAUGCAUCGGAACGUGCCCGAUCGUGGGGGAUAACGUAGCGAAAGUUACGCUAAUACCGCAUACGAUUUGAGGAUGAAAGCGGGGGACCGUAAGGCCUCGCGCGAUCGGAGCGGCCGAUGUCAGAUUAGGUAGUUGGUGGGGUAAAGGCCCACCAAGCCGACGAUCUGUAGCUGGUCUGAGAGGACGACCAGCCACACUGGGACUGAGACACGGCCAGACUCCUACGGGAGGCAGCAGUGGGGGAUUUUGGACAAUGGGCGCAAGCCUGAUCCAGCAAUGCCGCGUGCAGGAAGAAGGCCUUCGGGUUGUAAACUGCUUUUGUACGGAGCGAAAAGGCUCUCUCUAAUACAGGGGGCUCAUGACGGUACCGUAAGAAUAAGCACCGGCUAACUACGUGCCAGCCGCCGCCGUAAGAC